rnacentral:sRNA from 1 species
ACAUGCACUGGCUAUAUCUCCCACACAUCUCUCACACAUCUUCAACACAGUGAUUUUAUCUUAUUUCUCAAAGUCCUACCUCUUAACUAAUCUGGAUUCUAAUUCUUAGUUAGUUAGUCACUAAUUCUAGCCCAUAACUGCUUUUCAGAUGUUGAAGUAGAAGGACUAAUAUUUAAGUUACUACGAAUAUUUCUUACAUCUCCCUGCAUAGGUGCUUAACAUAGAAUUGUUCCCGGGCUACAGUUGAGCAUGGUUUAUUAUUAAAAGUUGAACAUGGUUUAAAAAAAAGGUGUCUGAGCUUUGACACGGAGUAUUUCUAACAUUUGCAAGGAUUGAUGUUUCAUGCCUCUGAGAAAGUACGCCGUAAGGACGUUCAGUAGAAUAGAUUUAAAAAAUAAAAAUGAAAAUGAAAAUGAAAAUGAAAUAAAAAAGUAAGGUAAAGUAAAGAAGAUGAAGAAAAGAAAGGGGGGAAUCGGUUGAAUGUUUUCAUUCAAGAGCAGGACUCCAGCUCCCACAUCAUAUUAAGCCUUGAACUCAUUCAUCCAUAUAACAGAAAGAGAAGCUAACAUUGAUAGAUAGAGUAGCUUCUCUUUUCAUCAUCACCAUUUCAUACUUUCUCAUUCUUCGAUAUACACAUAUGCAUAUUCAUGAUUACAUGCACACUAUUCACAGCCACACUGUGCUUUGAAUCUCAAAGGAGGAAAGGGAAUAUAAGAACAGAUAAUGGUACGAAUGGAAGAAGAAAACAAGAUU